CUGACCGUGCUAAGGUAGCGUAAUCAUUUGCCCCUUAAUUAGUGGCCCGUAUGAACGGACAAACGAGAGAAUACCUGUCUCCUUAUUACAAAUGAAAUCUUAUCCUCAGGUGAAGAAGCCUGAAUAUAUAUAAAAGACAAGAAGACCCCGUCGAGCUUUAACUAUAUCUAAUCACCAACCACUCCCCCUUGAACGCGUAACCCCUAUAAAAGUUUUUGUUGGGGCAAUACUGGAUAAAGAAACCUCCAUAAAACUACAGACCCCACGUCACCCUACAGACCCCCACACAGAUCUUAGGCACCAGCUACCGCAGGGAUAACAGGCUAAUUCUCUACAAGAGCCCGAAUCAACUAGAGAGUUUGGCACCUCGAUGUUGGCUUAAGAUGACCAUUAGACGCAGCAGUCUAGAAGGUAGGUUUGUUCAACCUUUAAUAUCUUACGUGAUCUGAGUUCAGACCGG
rnacentral:rRNA from 1 species